rnacentral:rRNA from 1 species
UACGUAGGGACCGAGCGUUGUCCGGAUUCAUUGGGCGUAAAGCGCUCGUAGGCGGUUGCUCAAGUCGAAUGUGAAAACUCGAGGCUCAACCUCGAGCCUGCAUUCGAUACUGGGCGGCUAGAGUCUGGUAGGGGAAUCUGGAAUUCCUGGUGUAGCGGUGGAAUGCGCAGAUAUCAGGAGGAACACCGGUGGCGAAGGCGGGAUCCUGGGCCAGUACUGACGCUGAGGAGCGAAAGCGUGGGGAGCAAACGGG